UUGUAAUUGGACCGUACUGACAACUGCCCAACUGCGAUAUCGUAAUUUAUAACCUAAACAUUUAUUUAUUUAAAUGUUUUUAAACGAUUUUUAUACGAGAAAUGGCAACAAUUACAUGCUAUAUGACAAUGAAAAUGCAAGAAAUAUUUAUAGAGAGAAGUUAAAAGAUAUGAAAAUGAAGUGAAGGAUAACGGCUAACGGCAUUGAAAAUUAAUGAAUCUUAUCAAUAGUCCGGCUGGUGUUGACAGAAGAUAAAGAAGAGGAACAAUAAUUAUUAAUAAAUUGUAGCAUCAAAAAAUUCCAAAACUAUUGAGGUGUUGAAAUCCAGUAAAUUUUCUUGUAAAGCUUGGAGAAUUGCAAAUGUUUGGUGUUAAUGUAUGAGAGUACUUCAUAUGUAAACAAUAUUGAUGAAGUUGUCUGCUUAUUUGGGGCCAAAUAAGAAGGAGAGAAAUUUUCUUGGAAAAGAAUCGAAAGCAAUAAAGAUAAGAUAUCAUGACAGAAGAAUGCAGAAGGGUUGCUCAGCUCUUAACUUCGCCUUAUAAUCUUUAUUUAUUUCAAUUGUGUUGUAAGAAGUAUUUUUUAAACAGUAAAACUUUCUCCAAUUUAUAGACUACCUAUUAUGAUUCA